rnacentral:snRNA from 1 species
AUACUUAUCUGGCAGGGAAGACACCUUGAUCAUGUAGGUUUUUUUAGGGUGAGGCUCAGCCAUUGCACUCUGGCUGUGCUGACCCCUGCAAUUUCCCCAAAUGCGGGAAACUCAACUGCAUAAUUUGUGAUAGUGCGGGACUGCAUGCACNCUUUCCCCUA